UACGUAGGGUGCAAGCGUUGUCCGGAAUUAUUGGGCGUAAAGAGCUCGUAGGCGGUUUGUCGCGUCUGCUGUGAAAACCCGGGGCUCAACUCCGGGCCUGCAUUCGAUACGGGCAGACUAGAGUUCGGUAGGGGAGACUGGAAUUCCUGGUGUAGCGGUGAAAUGCGCAGAUAUCAGGAGGAACACCGGUGGCGAAGGCGGGUCUCUGGGCCGAUACUGACGCUGAGGAGCGAAAGCGUGGGGAGCGAACAGG
rnacentral:rRNA from 1 species